UGGGGAAUAUUGCACAAUGGAGGGAACUCUGAUGCAGCGACGCCGCGUGAACGAAGAAGGCUUUCGAGUCGUAAAGUUCUUUUAUAUGGGAAGAUAAUGACGGUACCAUAAGAAAAAGCCCCGGCUAACUACGUGCCAGCAGCCGCGGUAAUACGUAGGGGGCUAGCGUUGUCCGGAAUCACUGGGCGUAAAGGGUUCGCAGGCGGAAAUGCAAGUCAGGUGUAAAAGGCAGUAGCUUAACUACUGUAAGCAUUUGAAACUGCAUAUCUUGAGAAGAGUAGAGGUAAGUGGAAUUUUUAGUGUAGCGGUGAAAUACGUAGAUAUUAAAAAGAAUACCGGUGGCGAAGGCGGCUUACUGGGCUCAUUCUGACGCUGAGGAACGAAAGCGUGGGUAGCAAACAGG
rnacentral:rRNA from 1 species